AGGCGCACCCAGAAACCCUUUGUGAACUUAUACCUUUUGUUGCCUCGGCGCAUGCUGGCCUCUAGUAGGCCCCUCACCCCGGUGAGGAGAAGGCACGCCGGCGGCCAAGUUAACUCUUGUUUUUACACUGAAACUCUGAGAAAAAACACAAAUGAAUCAAAACUUUCAACAACGGAUCUCUUGGUUCUGGCAUCGAUGAAGAACGCAGCGAAAUGCGAUAAGUAAUGUGAAUUGCAGAAUUCAGUGAAUCAUCGAAUCUUUGAACGCACAUUGCGCCCUCUGGUAUUCCGGAGGGCAUGCCUGUUCGAGCGUCAUUUCAACCCUCAAGCAUUGCUUGGUGUUGGGGCACUGCUUUUAACGAAGCAGGCCCUGAAAUCUAGUGGCGAGCUCGCCAGGACCCCGAGCGCAGUAGUUAAACCCUCGCUCUGGAAGGCCCUGGCGGUGCCCUGCCGUUAAACCCCCAACUUCUGAAAAUUUGACCUCGGAUCAGGUAGGAAUACCCGCUGAACUUAAGCAUAUCAAUAAGCCGGAGGAAAAAUUUUUUUUGG
rnacentral:rRNA from 1 species